GCUGCUGGUAAGGGAAACAGCAACAUCAGCUGACUGAGAUUCUGCUCAGGGAUCUGGAGGUGUGGCAGGUGAGUGGAGUAAGCAGACUGCUGAGAGACAGAGGAAGACUGGAGGUGGAGACCUGGCUGCGAAGAUCAAACAACCAAUUGAUAGUCCUUCAACAUCCCAGGAGGCAUUGUUCCCAGGUCAGGUGGAUUAGCUGUCCUCCUGGACUCUGAAGCUGCCUCCCAUCCCAUCCCUCACCACAGUGACAACCUGGACAGAGGAGCUGCAGCUGAAAAUCAUCCAGGCAACCACCUGGAAGCACCUUACUGUAGCUUUUCAAAAUGCUCACUGGAAGAAGAGACAGCUCCCUCCUCCCCUCAAGAACUUAUCCAGCCGGGUCACCUGGUUGACCAGCCUGAACCAAAAA